GGUAGUCCACGCCCUAAACGAUGGACACUAGGCGCGGGGGGUAUCGACCCCCUCCGUGCCGUAGCUAACGCGAUAAGUGUCCCGCCUGGGGAGUGCGGCCGCAAGGUUGAAACUCAAAUGAAUUGACGGGGACCCGCACAAGCGGUGGAGCAUGUGGAUUAAUUCGAUACUAACCGAAGAACCUUACCCAGACUUGACAUCGAUUGAAAAGUCCAGAAAUGGGCUCCUCCCUCACAAGGGGGACAUGAAGACACUUGUUGCAUGGCUGUCGUCAGCUCGUGCCGUGAGGUGUACGGUUAAG
rnacentral:rRNA from 1 species